GGGCCCGCACAAGCGGUGGAGCAUGUGGUUUAAUUCGAUGAUACGCGAGGAACCUUACCAGGGCUUAAAUGGGAGAUGACAGGGGCAGAGACGCCCUUUUCUUCGGACCACUUACAAGGUGCUGCAUGGUUGUCGUCAGCUCGUGCCGUGAGGUGUCAGGUUAAGUCCUAUAACGAGCGCAACCCCUGUUGUUAGUUGCCAGCGUGUAAUGACGGGGACUCUAACGGAACUGCCGGUGCAAACCGUGAGGAAGGUGGGGACGACGUCAAAUCAUCACGGCCCUUACGUCCUGGGCCACACACGUGCUACAAUGGUAGGUACAGAGGGAAGCCACCCCGCGAGGGGGAGCGGAUCUAUAAAACCUAUCUCAGUUCGGAUCGGAGUCUGCAACUCGACUCCGUGAAGCUGGAAUC
rnacentral:rRNA from 1 species